CAGCAGUCGCCACGGUAAUACGAAGGGUGCAAGCGUUAAUCGGAAUUACUGGGCGUAAAGCGUGCGUAGGCGGUGAGUUAAGUCUGCUGUGAAAUCCCCGGGCUCAACCUGGGAAUGGCAGUGGAUACUGGCUCGCUAGAGUGUGUCGGAGGAUGGUGGAAUUCCCGGUGUAGCGGUGAAAUGCGUAGAGAUCGGGAGGAACAUCAGUGGCGAAGGCGGCCAUCAGGGACAACACUGACGCUGAGGCACGAAAGCGUGGGGAGCAAACAGGAUUAGAUACCCCCGUAGUCCCUGUCUCUUAUAC
rnacentral:rRNA from 1 species